rnacentral:rRNA from 1 species
ACAGCAGCAGCCGCGGGAAUACGAGGGGUGCAAGCGUUGUCCGGAAUUAUUGGGCGUAAAGGGCUCGCAGGCGGUUUCUUAAGUCUGAUGUGAAAGCCCCCGGCUCAACCGGGGAGGGUCAUUGGAAACUGGGAAACUUGAGUGCAGAAGGGGAGAGUGGAAUUCCAUGUGUAGCGGUGAAAUGCGUAGAUAUAUGGAGGAACACCGGUGGCGAAAGCGGCUCUCUGGUCUGUCACUGACGCUGAGGCUCGAAAGCAUGGGUAGCGAACAGGAUUAGAUACCCCGGUAGUCCCUGUCUCUUAUAU